UACGAAGGGGGCUAGCGUUGUUCGGAAUCACUGGGCGUAAAGGGCGCGUAGGCGGCUUGAUAAGUCGGGGUGAAAGCCUGUGGCUCAACCACAGAAUUGCCUUCGAUACUGUCGAGCUUGAGACCGGAAGAGGUAAGUGGAACUGCGAGUGUAGAGGUGAAAUUCGUAGAUAUUCGCAAGAACACCAGUGGCGAAGGCGGCUCACUGGCCCGGUACUGACG
rnacentral:rRNA from 1 species